AGUGAACGCUGGCGGCGUGCUUAACACAUGCAAGUCGAACGAGAACGGAUUAUAGCUUGCUAUAAUUGUCAGCUAAGUGGCGCACGGGUGAGUAAUGUAUAGGUAAUAUGCCUCUUACUAAGGGAUAACAAUUGGAAACGAUUGCUAAUACCUUAUAUUCCUUUUUAUCAAAAGAUAAAAAGGGAAAGAUUUAUUGGUAAGAGAUUAGCCUGUAUUGUAUCAGUUAGUUGGUGGGGUAAUGGCCUACCAAGACGAUGACGCAUAACUGGUUUGAGAGGAUGAUCAGUCACACUGGAACUGAGACACGGUCCAGACUCCUACGGGAGGCAGCAGUGGGGAAUAUUGCACAAUGGACGAAAGUCCGAUGCAGCAACGCCGCGUGGAGGAUGACACAUUUCGGUGCGUAAACUCCUUUUAUAUAAGAAGAUAAUGACGGUAUUAUAUGAAUAAGCACCGGCUAACUCCGUGCCAGCAGCCGCCGUAA
rnacentral:rRNA from 1 species